UACAGAGGUCUCAAGCGUUUGUUCGGAUUCAUUGGGCGUAAAGGGUGUCGUAGGCGGCGCCGGUAAGUCGGGUGUGAAAUUCGAUGGAGCUUAACUCCGAAACUGCAUUCGAUACUGCCGUGCUUGAGGACUGGAGAGGAGACUGGAAUUUACGGUGUAGCGGUGAAAUGCGUAGAUAUCAUAGGAAGACCAGUGGCGAAGGCGGGUCUCUGGACAGUUCCUGACGCUGAGGCACGAAGGCCAGGGGGAGCAAAACGGGG
rnacentral:rRNA from 1 species